UGGGGAAUAUUGCACAAUGGGGGAAACCCUGAUGCAGCGACGCCGCGUGAACGAAGAAGGUAUUCGUAUCGUAAAGUUCUGUCCUAUGGGAAGAUAAUGACAGUACCAUAGAAGAAAGCUCCGGCUAAAUACGUGCCAGCAGCCGCGGUAAUACGUAUGGAGCGAGCGUUGUCCGGAAUUAUUGGGCGUAAAGGGUACGCAGGCGGUUUAAUAAGUCGAAUGUUAAAGAUCGGGGCUCAACCCCGUAAAGCAUUGGAAACUGAUAAACUUGAGUAGUGGAGAGGAAAGUGGAAUUCCUAGUGUAGUGGUGAAAUACGUAGAUAUUAGGAGGAAUACCAGUAGCGAAGGUGACUUUCUGGACACAAACUGACGCUGAGGUACGAAAGCGUGGGGAGCAAACAGG
rnacentral:rRNA from 1 species